CAAGGCAUUGCGUUGUUGGCCGCCCAACACAACACAAGAGUAGAGAACAAAUAUCAACUUGGAUUAGCCCUUAACGACAUUAGAGACAUAAUAUCAACAACCCAAUCAUAAAGCUUUUGCUAUACUUUAAUUUCACGUCACUCACGUUUCCUAGAUCUGUAAGGUUUUCUAUUCCUAAGGGUCUCUAGGUCCAUCCUAUACUUUCACUUUUUAGGCUCUGAUACCACUAUAUCUGUCAUGCCCGGCAGCCGAUCCUGUUUGGUCGGUUCGGGCACGUCGAACAGAUGCCGAACGGACAGCACCUCCUCUGUCCGCCCAAGACUCAACACAAGUACAAAUCAAAUAGAUAUAUUACACAUGCGGAAACAUACAUAUAUGGCUUGCACGAGGGCAAGCAGUAGCCAAAGCGAAAGUACUAAACUAACAUUAUGCAAGUACCAUGAUUAACUUUUAACCAUAUAUAUGCAACUAUUUCCACAGUUCUUACCCCACUAAUAUUAGCCCAGUCCAACUCAUAUAUAUAUAUAUAUGAGUUUUUUAGUAGCAAAAUUCUAUUGUUCCUAUCAGUAUUUUAGCCUUUGGAUCAACUCUUUUCAUUAUUUCUAACCAUUGGAUUAAAUACUAUAACCCAGUGGGGACCACUCAACCCUAGGGGGACCACUCAACUCUAACUGACUAAUAUCAUCCCGACCCUACAAUUUUUCAUCCAAGGGUUAAAAAUUUGAUAGCAAAAAGAGCGUUUUACUAUUAAUAGUAUUCCAGUCUAUAUAUAUAUA
rnacentral:lncRNA from 1 species